GGGAAAUGGAUUGUCCGUGAAGGUGUCUCUGAUAUCUGGUCAUUUAUGAACUCACUGAAGCGUGCAAACAGCUCAUGGAUCAAUGUUGGCCCAAAAACUCCUGCAAACACUGCAACCCUCUAUCACGAGUACAUCAUAAAUGGAGACCGUUUCAUUUAUAUUAUCAAGUUAUGAUAGUAUAAGUUUAUACUAUCAACAUAACUCUUAAAGACAGCACCUUUUAUCGCUUUGAAAAUGACACAUUAGAAGGCAAAUUUCUGCCAUCCUGCCCUGACUGCCUCACCAUGCA